GCCAGGGUAGCUCAGCCCGGGAGAGCACUCGGCUGAAGACCGAGCCGUCGCGCGUUCAAGUCCCGCCCCUGGCACCA
rnacentral:tRNA from 1 species